rnacentral:rRNA from 1 species
AACGAACGCUGGCGGCAUGCCUAACACAUGCAAGUCGAACGAGACCUCCGGGUCUAGUUGCUCACGGGUGCGUAACGCGUGGGAACCUGCCCUUAUGUUCGGAAUUCCUCUCUGAAAUGGGUGCUAAUACCGGAUAAUGUCCUCUGAUCAAAGAUUUAUCGUCUUUGUAUGGGCCCGCGUUGUAUUAGCUUGUUGGUAGGGUAAAAGCCUACCAAGGCUUCGAUCCAUAGCUGGUCUGAGAGGAUGAUCAGCCACACUGGGAGUGGGACACGGCCCAGACUCCUACGGGAGGGAGCAGAGGGGGAUAUAGGACAAUGGGCGAGAGCAUGAACCAGCAAGGGCGGGAGAGUGAUGAAGGCGUGAGGGUUGUAAAGCUCUUUUACCCGGGAUGAUAAUGACGGUACCGGGAGAAUAAGCACCGGCUAACUCCGUG